rnacentral:lncRNA from 1 species
UGUGUAUAUUGAAAGCUAAAAUCCCUUUAGAAUUUAAUCUCCCAGUGAAGGAUUUAAAACUGUAACAGACAGCUGGCUUCUGGUAACUCUUUGAAGCAAGCUUCCAUUGAAAACAGCAUUUUGGGUUCCAGGCCUCCAUCCCGCAGUGUCCACCUUGGCUUCUGUUUGAUAGAUAUUUUCCUACAACUCCAGGGAGACAGACAGAAGGGGCGGAGGCGGCUUCUCGGCCUGAUGACAUCAGCACGGGGGUGGAGCUGCCCCGUCCCAAAGGCAAAUUCCAGUCCAGGUAUGAGAUCAUCUGAUGGAGAAAUCAGCUUUCUUCCUAAAACACACUUAGGUGGGUGGGUGGAGAAGUUCUGAGAGAGAACACAACAUGUGUGGAUGUGUGUGAGAGAGAGAAGAAUGUGUAUCCGAGCAGAAGAGCCAGCUUUGGUGAUGUUGCAUUCAUGCGGGCAUUUCUGGGGGCACCAGGAACUGGAGCCCUGGCAGUGUGGGAGUCGCUUCGCUUCCACCCGUCACAGGCUUCUCUGCUUUCCUGCUUCUCUGGUGCCCAUUCUAUUAAAAAGAAAGAAAACGGAUAGAAUCAUAGAAUCAUAGAGUUGGAAGGGACCUCCAGGAUCAUCGAGUCCAACCCCCUGCUCAAUGCAGGAUUCACUACACCAUCCUAGACAGAUAUCCAUCCAGCCUUUCCUUGAAGACCUCCAGCGAAGGAGAGCCCACCACCUCCUGUGGCAACCUGUUCCAGUGACUGAUUGCCCUUACGGUCAGAAAGUUUUUUCUAAUAUCUAGCCUGUAUCUACUCCCUUGAAGUUUCAUCCCAUUGUUUCUAGUCCUUCCUUCUUGCGCAACUGAGAAUAGGGCCAAUCCUUCUGCACUGUGGCAGCCCUUCAGAUACCUGAAAACAAUAUCCUGGAGUGCAGGAUAAAAAAGGAGUGAAGGAGGGGCAAGUAAGAGCUGAGCUGCGUUAGGUUCAGAACGCUGGUUAGAGGGAAGGGAAAGAAGGGAGGCGGAAGGGAGGGAGAAAGGCUUGACCUAGUGCUGGUCCAGGGUAACUUAAAGUUCAGCCUAUCAGGCAUGAAAGGGUUGAGUGAUUUUCCCUGGCAGGGUUAUAAACCACAGGCAAAGGGUUCUUGGAGCAGUGUUCCCACAUCAGGC